rnacentral:lncRNA from 1 species
AGCAAGUGUACCUGAGAAUACUUUUAAAGGAACCUGUUGAUAAAUGCAAAACAGUAGCUGUUGCAGCUUUAAUUUUUAUCUCCUCAACAAUGUAUCAUCAAGAUCAGGGGCACCCAUUAUUUCAUAUCCUGUGACCUUUGGUGGAUGUCUGGCUUUGGAUGCACUGGCUCUCUUUGUAAGGCACAGCCUGUGUUAUUGUCAUAUGUCACCGUGAUCCUUCAGGAUUUUUGUAGUCUUUUUUUUUUUCCAUCUACCAAUGAAGAACACUACAAAUGUACCUUGUGCUGAAUAUUUUAUGUGUCUUUGUCAUACCAUCAUGAAAGCAUUAAGCAAGUCCCAUUUUGCAGAUGAGGAAAUAAGGUUCCAAGUGGUUAAACAACUUGCCUGCUAUUCCCAGAGAGUAAGUGGCAGGAAUGGGAUUCAGCACUGAGUCUGUCUUGAAUUGUGUACGAUAGAAAUAGUAUGCCCUGCUGUAUUCCCUUUUUGAAGCAGAGUUUUAAAAAUAUUCUUAUUCAGCUGGGCGUGG